GCCCCGGUGGGUCAGCUGGUAGAGCGCACGCCUCGCACGCAGCAGCCCAGGUUCGAGUCCUGCCUGGGCCC
rnacentral:tRNA from 1 species